rnacentral:rRNA from 1 species
CGGCGGACGGGUGAGUAAUGCCUAGGAAUCUGCCUGGUAGUGGGGGAUAACGUCCGGAAACGGACGCUAAUACCGCAUACGUCCUACGGGAGAAAGCAGGGGACCUUCGGGCCUUGCGCUAUCAGAUGAGCCUAGGUCGGAUUAGCUAGUUGGUGGGGUAAUGGCUCACCAAGGCGACGAUCCGUAACUGGUCUGAGAGGAUGAUCAGUCACACUGGAACUGAAACACGGUCCAGACUCCUACGGGAGGCAGCAGUGGGGAAUAUUGGACAAUGGGCGAAAGCCUGAUCCAGCCAUGCCGCGUGUGUGAAGAAGGUCUUCGGAUUGUAAAGCACUUUAAGUUGGGAGGAAGGGCAGUAAAUUAAUACUUUGCUG